CCCUGGUACGUAGGGGAAACUGUAAGCAGCAAAAAGAAGAAAGCAUGCUCUCCCCCCCAGACCCCCCACCACCGCCAUGGAAGGAGCUCUCAUCUGAAUUCCAGGAUCCAUUUUCAUUUCCUUAUGGACUAGAAAGAACAAUUCUGCCAGCCUCGCUGCUACCUGGGGGAGGGGCCCAGAAUGUACAUGUGGGAGUGAGCCAAAUACUACCUUCAUGAGAACAACACAGUAGAGGAUGGUGAAGCAACACCAUGGAAGGAGUUGGGCUCCAGAGGACCUUGGGGGACAAUUCUCUCCCUUGAAUGCGUAUCAGCUGGGGGAUGGGGGAAGACAGAGAGGGAGAGAGAGAGAGAGAGAGAGAGAGAGAGAGAGAGAGAGAGAGAGA